UGCGGCUGAUUGGGGCUUAUAGUUUUCCAAAAGAUCAAAUAAGCUGUGUCUGCCAACACAAUUCAAGGUAUUCAAGAUACCCUCCAUCAGGCUGAGAGGUUUCUAGUUCAGCAGGUGUCUGUUCUCCUCACACAGAUGAAAGGCCUUCCAGUACUGCAUACACUAUUGUACCAGCCGCCUGCAACACAAAAUGUUCCACCAUUAACAUUACAAAAGGUAUGACACUGAUUGUUUAUGUUUCUUCAAUGAAAAAGCAAAGAUAGUUUUCCAUGUAGUAUUAUAAGAGACAGAGAAAAUGCAAUGACCUGAAUAAAUGUAAAUUUGCAAAGUACCAUUAAAGUAUUUGUAAAAGCUUAAAUUUUAAAACCUAAGCAUGAAAUUCAUGUUGGUUUUUUUCACAAAAGAUCCUUGACUUCCUGAAGUUAAAUCAGUAAUGGUCUAUCCAAAUCUUUUUUUGAAAAAAAGUGUUGCAGUUGUGUAAUUAAAGUGAACUAAAUUGUGAUUUAAUUCUGCCAAACUGGCAGCAACAAUGUGAGGCCAUCAUUUAGUUUAUAAAACCUGAAAGGUCAAAACACUUGUACAUGUAUAAAACUAUUACUGUAAUCCAGAGGUAUUAUAAGCUUAAAUGAAACUUUAAGUGACAGAUGGAGGUGUUGUGACUCACCUGUGGUCCGGAGGUAAAUGCACGGGUAGCUGCUGGGAGUGUUCUGAGAGUACCAGUUGGUGUAGCUGAAGCGGCUCUGGUCCACCCACCUCCAGGUCUGCACACAUGAACACACAGUAAAUUAAACCUGCCGCAGACAUCUGUCUGUCCAUAGACAUCACAGUGUAGUCCAACUAUGUUUUUUCUGUCACCUGUUACACACACUUUGAUUAAUAUAUUUAUAUUUUGUAUUAUUUAUGUAUGAUAAGCUAAUGACCUGGAAGUAGUAUCCUCCUAUCCAGGCGGUCUGGCCUCCUGCACGGCUGGUGAGCGACUGGAGGAAAGUGUAUUCAAACAAAUCACUGGCAGACGCCAGGGAAGAUCCUUGACCGGCACAGUAGGACUGAGAGAGACACACACACACACACACACACACACACACACACACACACA